UACGGAGGGUGCAAGCGUUAUCCGGAUUCACUGGGUUUAAAGGGUGCGUAGGUGGGUUGGUAAGUCAGUGGUGAAAUCCCCGAGCUUAACUCGGGAACUGCCAUUGAUACUAUCAGUCUUGAAUAUUGUGGAGGUUAGCGGAAUAUGUCAUGUGGCGGUGAAAUGCUUAGAUAUGACAUAGAACACCAAUUGCGAAGGCAGCUGGCUACACAUAUAUUGACACUGAGGCACGAAAGCGUGGGGAUCAAACAGG
rnacentral:rRNA from 1 species